AUAGGCGUUCGCUUACAGAGACGAUGUAUCCUAGACUGAGCCUAUAACGGAGCGCUUGAAAAACAUAAAGAAAGGGAUUUGCGCAUAACUUUUAAAGAUUUACGUGGAUUACAAGUCGCUUUGGGAUUUGGAAGGUUGUGGUGCCUAAUUUAAGUUUGAGCAAGCUUCUUCCAACUUCACUCUCCCCCCAUGCCCACAUCAGCUGUGUCCACGUACCCUUUGCCGUGGCGCUAAGCCACCUCUGAGCUGCCCGUGUGUGUGUGUGUGUGUGUGUGCACCCGUGGGGAGUGUAUCGGAGGGGACCAGGUGUGUCCAGCCGUGUAAAGGUCCAGCGGCGGUGAGGAGGGAGGGGGGGCCACGUGCUGGGAGCGCGGCCGCCGUGAUUUUUCCCAGGGGGGGGCCAGGCACCCAAAGAUGAGCAAGCGCGGCUUCCAUAACAACAAAACCAUGCAAGACCGCCGCUGUGUGUGUGUGUUCCUCCCUAACGACGACACGCUCAACGUCAUCGUCAGUCAGGUUAAGACUCUGUGUCAAGAACUCCUUGUUCAGGUGUGUGAUCUGCUGAGACUCAAGGACUGCCACCUGUUUGGACUCAGUGUCAUCCAGAACAAUGAGCACAUCUAUAUGGAGCUUGGCCAGAAGCUGUCCAAGUACUGUCCCAAAGAGUGGCGGAAAGAGGCCAGCAAGGGUAUCGACCAGUUUGGACCUCCAAUGAUCGUCCACUUCAGAGCCCAGUAUUAUGUGGAGAAUGGGCGACUGAUCAGUGAUCGCUCGGCACGACACUACUACUACUGGCACCUGAGGAAGCAGGUGCUGCAGUCUCAGUGCAUCCAGAGAGAGGAGGCCUACUUCCUGCUGGCUGCCUUUGCCCUGCAGGCAGACCUGGGCAACUUCAAGCGCAACAAGCACUUUGGCAAAUACUUUGAGCCGGAAGCCUACUUUCCACCAUGGGUGAUUGCUAAGCGUGGCCGUGAGUACAUCCUAAGGCACAUCCCUAACAUGCAUAAAGACCAGUACGCCCUUACCGCCUCAGAAGCCCACCUCAAAUACAUCAAAGAGUCCGCCCAGCUGGACGACGUCACCGUGCACUAUUACAGACUCUACAAGGAUAAAAAAGAAGUUGAGGCCUCUCUCACUUUAGGGCUGACAUUGCGUGGAAUCCAGAUAUUUCAGAAUGUGGGUUCAGUGCGACAACUUUUGUACGACUUCCCCUGGACCAAUGUUGGCAAGCUGGUGUUUGUGGGGAAAAAGUUUGAGAUUCUGCCGGAUGGUCUGCCGUCUGCACGGAAGCUCAUCUACUACACGGGUUGCCCCAUGCGCUCGCGCCACCUCCUCCAGUUGCUUAGCAACAGCCACCGCCUCUACAUGAACCUGCAGCCGGUACUCAAGCAGGUCCGCCGCCUGGAGGAGAAUGAAGAGAAGAAGCAGUACCGCGAGUCGUACAUCAGCGACGCGCUGGAGCUGGACAUGGACCAGCUGGACGGUCGCUCGCGUGCCAGCGGCAGCAGCAUGGGCAGCGUGUCGCGCCACAAGCGCCUCUCGCGCCACUCCACCGCCAGCCACGGCAGCUCGCACACGUCCGGCGUGGACAUGGGCAGUUUCCGCGUGCCCCACGGCCACGGGCCGCCACGGCCCCCGCUGCGCACGGGCAGCUCGUCCACCAACAGCCACGCUAGCACGCACACGUCCGGCGUAGAGAGCGCCGGCAAGGACCGGGUGCUGGAUGAUGAUGACGAUGAUGAGAUUGAGAUGCUGGUGGAUGACCCUAAGGACUAUGAGGAGCUGCAUGAGCUGGCACUGGAGCUCAACCAGGACCUGUGCAUCCACAUCACUGAGGACAUGCUCACCUCCAGCCAGACCAAUGGAUUCUCAGGUCUUGUGGUGAAGGAUGUGAGCUCCUCAACCUCCAGCUCCUCAGAGACGGUGGUGAAGAUGAGGGGACAGAGCAUUGAGUCCCUACCACAGACGGUUGUGUGCAAGAAGGGGCAGGGCUCCACUGACCGCCACAGCCAAUCGCUGGAUGAUGUGCGGCUCUACCAGCGCAGCGUCUCGGAGUGGGCAGAUCUGUGCCAGGACACCGCCCACAGCUACACUUUCGGCUGCGCCCAGGAGCUGGACGCCGUCGCUACGGGCUACCAGGGCCUGGCGGAGCAGUGUGCCGGCAUCCGCGCCGACCCGUCGGCCUUCCCCAUCAAGCGCACCAAUAAGUACUUCUCCCUGGACCUGACCACGGACGAAGUGCCCGAGUUUGUGGUGUGAGUGACUGCAGUGAAGAUGGAGGAGGAGCGGAAUGGACUCACUCACUCACUCACACACACACACACACACACACACACACACACACACACACACACACACACACACAGAGAUUCCUGUCGCUAACUCCCUGACAAACUCAUACACGCAUUCACCUGUGUUCUAUCGUGUGUCGUCAACAUGCCCCCCCCGCAUCACAGCCACACACUCCCGUCAUCUCUGGAGGAAUCAGAUCAGAAAUCUACACUCCAAAGACGUGAUUGAGGUCGUAGUCUUUGGAGCCUGGUAGAGCUGGUAAUCAAUCUGCGCCGGGAUUGGUUGUAGAUCCACAGAGCUGGAAGUCUAGGAAUGGGAAUUGCUUUGAAAAAGGAGUCGCAAGGGAAAUAAUGGGAAUUUUCCCAUCAGUAUCAAUUUCAUAUUAUGGAUUAUAUAUGAAUUAUAUAUAUGAAAAACUGCAUCUUUAAAAAAGCAUGAACUUAUGAUGAGAAAGGUGUGUGUGUGUGUGAGAGAGAGAGAGAGAGAGAGAGAGAGAGAGAGAAAGCAAGAGGGAGAGUUAAUCCCUACAUGUAUCCUUUCCUCUUAUAUCAAGUACAUUUUGCAUCUGUAUUAAGUGCCAAGAAUCAUGAACAUCACACACAUACAAAUGAGAAAUGAAUUUGUAUGAGCUAUGAACCAAAGACUGUCUUCAGUGAGAUCCUUGGGAUUUGAGCUGACAGAAUGAUACACAAUGGCUCACCAAUGAAAUAACUGUCACGUAACCACAGUAACGGUACCGCCAAUGAGAUUGGAUGGAUUUCGGGUAACUCCUCUUGCAGCGCUGAGGAACGGACAUCUUUGUUGGUCAACUGGGAUUUGGAAAAAGACUUGUAAUUGGACCUUAUGAAAUGAUUGCUAAGAAGAAGGGGGCAGUGGGUGGAUGGUAGAAGCUAUGUCCACUUCUGACUGUUCCAGGAUGUGUGUAGUGCCAACAACCCCAUCCCACCCAACGUCACCCCCACUAACUCCCACCCCCACCCAGCCCCAUCCUGACAGCAGACUGCCAUAACCAAGCCUCUAGUGCCUUUGAAAAUGCUAUGCAGGUCCUGUGACCAUUAAUACGCCUUGACAAUCUCACACACUUAUUCUCUCUUUCUCUCUCUCUCUCUCUCUCUCUCACUGCUUGUAAGCCAUUUCAUUUAACUUAAGGCAGCAAUAUGAGAUUCAAGCUCCUUUUCGUGACCCCUCUGUAUGGUCCACACACACACCAUACAGACAGUCGUAGAGAACUCCACUGAGAGUAGAUCAAUGGAUUCCAGAGAGUGAUGUCAUUCCCAGCCUCUCCUGGUUGAAAGGUGAUUGGGUUUGAGUAGGAGUGUGUGACACACAUGUUAGGUCCCAUUGCUGCCUGACUGGAUGGGUGUGUGUGUAUGUGUGUGUGUGUCUGUCCCAGAGGCGGGAUGUGUUGAUACUUGUUUGGCUGUUGAUGAGCCAAGUGAAUUCCACAAAAUGGAGAAAUGUUGACAAAGCCUGGAGACUGAGACUUUUCAAAUCCAUAACCUCUCUUUCUUUCUUUUCUUUCUUUCUUUCUCUUUGUCUCUCUCUCUCUUCUUACUUUUCUUACUCUUUCCCUUGUUUUUUUUUUCUCCACUCAUUCAGUUAUUUCACUCAGAGCACUCUUUUCUCAAAGGUGACUAAGCUUGUUAGUUUUUUUUUUUUUCUUCAGAGAACACCUGUUUUUAAUUGAGGCCAUCAUAUUGAAGUAUUUUUGCAUAAAGAUUGAUUUCCCAGAUAAGAGAAGUGUCUGUGGCUUUGUGUGUAUGUGUGUGUGUGCGUGUGUGUGUGUGCGCGUGUGCUUGCUUGCUUACAUGCACCCAGUAUUACGCAAUAUAAUUGUGGAAGUUUUCACUCACCAUCUGUAACAACAUUUCUGUUUUGUAGCAUCAUCAGAUCUGCAUCCUUUAGAAGUUCAAAUGACACACUGAGGUUUCCGGAAAAAGAACACGGAACACACACACACACACACACACACACACACACACACACACACCAGCUCUCAGUACAGCUCUUUUUGUUUCCUCAGGAUAUUGGUACUUAGGUCUGGGGAUGUGGCUCCUGGAUGACAGUGUUAAACUCAUAACAUAAUUUCAGUUUUGCUGACUCACAGUAGUUGGUUUUCAGAAACACACAAACACAACUGUUCAAAAAGUCAGAAUUUAUAUCUACAUGUUAUUUCGAAGCAAAAUGUUGGAUCACUAUACUCAAAAUCAACAUUUUCAUUAAUGUUGCAGUAUGAUAUGUGGUCUUGAUUUUCAGGUUUCAGUUUUCCCGUUUAUUUCUAUCAUUGAUGUGAUUUUUGGUACUGACAAGUAAAUGCACCGUUUGUAAAAACUAUUCAUCAUAAAGAUCGACAGAUCAGUUGGUCCAGAGGAACAUUAUACACCAUGCCUGUUUACUCACGUAGAAACAAAGAUUUCUGAACUUGUGCUCACAGAGAAAUCCAUAAAGGUACAAGGAACCCAGUCAGUGCUUAGUGGCCCUGACUGUAGGCAUAUGCAGAAUCUUACGGAUUCUUCCUUCUGAGAGUUCUCUGUAGAAUACUUCUCCGAAGAGGCUAGAGGAGUGGAAUGUUUUAAGAGUAACUGAGAGCCUUCAUAUUCACUCUGUCCCACACACACACACACACCACAUUAACGUUCUUUUCCCAAAAACAAAGAUAAAGGUUACCUCUUAAGUUCUGCUCUUGAGGAGAUGGAGAGAAGGGGGAAGAAGAGAGAGAGGGAAAGCUUUUCUUGCCCCAAAACUAGUUGAGUUGGUUGGGAUGUGAUGCCGUCGCUUGGCAGCAUUUGAUCAUCCACCCAUCUUCAUGCGCACUAACGCAGCAAUAAGAUGCUGGUAUGGACUGCACCACACCAACCCACGUGGUACCACCUGCCACAGCAUGGUGGAGAAAGCCUGCAUGAACUCUUAACCACCACUAGCCAAACACAAAGCGUAAAGAGUGUUUAACAUUCACAUGGGAAUCGUUGCAUUUCUAACCAGAGAAGGUUGUGUGGCCAUCUUUGUUGUUUUUUCGUUGGUCUAUUUUGGGCAGUUCAACCAAGGGAAAAAGUGUUUGUUGGAUUUGUUGCUUACUAUUAUUGUGGUAGUAGUAGCUAUAUUGUACUUGUAACAAACCUCUGAAAGCAGACGACUGGUGCGGGCCUGGCUCACAUCCGUUUCAGGUCCGGCUGAGCAUUUUUUGCUGUUGCUGACUUUCCAGAAAUGACAAAGGAGACUAUAAAAGUAAUAUUACUUGUUCUUUCAUCAAUGCUAGGUGUAAAGCCAUAGACUUAACAGUCUGGAUCUGUGUGUACAGAAAAAAAAACAUGUUGUCUGUGAUUUGUGUGUUGACCUGUACACAUUGUUGCAUAUGGAUUCAGUAAGAAUGAGUGUGUGGAUGUGUGUGUGACAGAGAGGUAGCGUGUGUCUCUGCACCAAGCGUUCACCGUCCUUUCUGUGAAAGGAAGUCCCUUCUGGAAGAAAAAGUGAAAUUAUUUCUUUAAUGUACUCUCUCUCGCUCUCCUGUAGCCCUUCUCUGAUUUUUUCAUUUUGUCUGACCCUUUUGUGACAAAGCUUUUGUUUCAAAUAAUGAAGUCUGAUCAGUGCCUUUUGGUGCUAAUGUCCUCAAACCAAUACUCAAUAAAAUAAAAAAUACCUGCAUUUGA